UUAACUCAAGUUUGUAUGGAGUUUGAACGUACGCCUACGUUUGCCGCUAGAGGCGCUGUUGCAACUGGAUACAAAUUUGAGUUA
rnacentral:pre_miRNA from 1 species